rnacentral:rRNA from 1 species
UGAGUAACGCGUGGGUAACCUGCCUCAUACAGGGGGAUAACAGUUAGAAAUGGCUGCUAAUACCGCAUAAGACCACAGUACUGCAUGGUACAGUGGUAAAAACUCCGGUGGUAUGAGAUGGACCCGCGUCUGAUUAGGUAGUUGGUGAGGUAACGGCCCACCAAGCCGACGAUCAGCAGCCGACCUGAGAGGGUGACCGGCCACAUUGGGACUGAGACACGGCCCAG